rnacentral:tRNA from 1 species
GCGCCACUAGCUCAAUUGGAUAGAGCAUCGGUCUACGGAACCGAAGGUUGCAGGUUCGAAUCCUGCGUGGCGUA